CCGGUUUGGGUAAAGUUUCCAAAGUGCAAAUUGGACUUCACCAUGGCAUAUCUCUCGUCGAGACGAUCGAAAUGCAUAUAUGGAACGUCCGAUUUGGACUUUGGAUGAGAGAGUUAUGCCCUCGGGAAGAUCAGCACCCCGUGCAGACUAGUCAGAUCGGCUUACCCCACCGGUCAGACCGGUUGGAUCAAAGUGCUCUAAAUAAAGAUUGGACUCCACCAUUGCGUAGAUCACAUCGAGUAGAUCAAGAUUCAUAUAUAGAACGUCCGAUUUGGAGUUCGGAUGAGGG
rnacentral:lncRNA from 1 species